CUUGCCGGCCAUAGAUGGGGGGAAACGCCCGGACCCAUUCCGAACCCGGAAGCUAAGCCCCCAUCGCGUGGAAGUAGUCUGGUGCGAGAGCCCAGGCGAGAGCCACGUGCUGGCAAGC
rnacentral:rRNA from 1 species